rnacentral:rRNA from 2 species
AUUGAUUGGUGCUUGCAUCAUGAUUUACAUUUGAGUGAGUGGCGAACUGGUGAGUAACACGUGGGAAACCUGCCCAGAAGCGGGGGAUAACACCUGGAAACAGAUGCUAAUACCGCAUAACAACUUGGACCGCAUGGUCCGAGCUUGAAAGAUGGCUUCGGCUAUCACUUUUGGAUGGUCCCGCGGCGUAUUAGCUAGAUGGUGGGGUAACGGCUCACCAUGGCAAUGAUACGUAGCCGACCUGAGAGGGUAAUCGGCCACAUUGGGACUGAGACACGGCCCAAACUCCUACGGGAGGCAGCAGUAGGGAAUCUUCCACAAUGGACGAAAGUCUGAUGGAGCAACGCCGCGUGAGUGAAGAAGGGUUUCGGCUCGUAAAACUCUGUUGUUAAAGAAGAACAUAUCUGAGAGUAACUGUUCAGGUAUUGACGGUAUUUAACCAGAAAGCCACGGCUAACUACGUGCCAGCAGCCGCGGUAAUACGUAGGUGGCAAGCGUUGUCCGGAUUUAUUGGGCGUAAAGCGAGCGCAGGCGGUUUUUUAAGUCUGAUGUGAAAGCCUUCGGCUCAACCGAAGAAGUGCAUCGGAAACUGGGAAACUUGAGUGCAGAAGAGGACAGUGGAACUCCAUGUGUAGCGGUGAAAUGCGUAGAUAUAUGGAAGAACACCAGUGGCGAAGGCGGCUGUCUGGUCUGUAACUGACGCUGAGGCUCGAAAGUAUGGGUAGCAAACAGGAUUAGAUACCCUGGUAGUCCAUACCGUAAACGAUGAAUGCUAAGUGUUGGAGGGUUUCCGCCCUUCAGUGCUGCAGCUAACGCAUUAAGCAUUCCGCCUGGGGAGUACGGCCGCAAGGCUGAAACUCAAAGGAAUUGACGGGGGCCCGCACAAGCGGUGGAGCAUGUGGUUUAAUUCGAAGCUACGCGAAGAACCUUACCAGGUCUUGACAUACUAUGCAAAUCUAAGAGAUUAGACGUUCCCUUCGGGGACAUGGAUACAGGUGGUGCAUGGUUGUCGUCAGCUCGUGUCGUGAGAUGUUGGGUUAAGUCCCGCAACGAGCGCAACCCUUAUUAUCAGUUGCCAGCAUUAAGUUGGGCACUCUGGUGAGACUGCCGGUGACAAACCGGAGGAAGGUGGGGAUGACGUCAAAUCAUCAUGCCCCUUAUGACCUGGGCUACACACGUGCUACAAUGGAUGGUACAACGAGUUGCGAACUCGCGAGAGUAAGCUAAUCUCUUAAAGCCAUUCUCAGUUCGGAUUGUAGGCUGCAACUCGCCUACAUGAAGUCGGAAUCGCUAGUAAUCGCGGAUCAGCAUGCCGCGGUGAAUACGUUCCCGGGCCUUGUACACACCGCCCGUCACACCAUGAGAGUUUGUAACACCCAAAGUCGGUGGGGUAACCUUUUAGA